UCUACCGCCUCAAUUGUUUCAGCA
rnacentral:siRNA from 1 species